UACGGGGGGAGCAAGCGUUGUUCGGAUUUACUGGGCGUAAAGGGCGCGUAGGCGGCGCAACAAGUCACUUGUGAAAUCUCCGGGCUUAACCCGGAGCGGCCAAGUGAUACUGUCGUGCUAGAGUGCGGAAGGGGCUACUGGAAUUCUCGGUGUAGCGGUGAAAUGCGUAGAUAUCGAGAGGAACACCGGCGGCGAAAGCGGCCUUCUGGACGAGGACUGACGCUGAGACGCGAAAGCGUGGGGAGCAAACAGG
rnacentral:rRNA from 1 species